rnacentral:lncRNA from 1 species
AUGUAACUGCCUUUACAUCCUUUUCUAUUUAUUUUUAUUUUACAUUCAUGAAUUUCCAAAAAUGAUUGGAUAUAAGUGAUGACGAACGAGCGAAUUAAUUAAUCAACAAAUGAGUGAACUAAUUAAUCGAUAAACGAACAAACUAAUUAGUUGACAAACGAACAGAAUAGUCGAACAGGGACGUAAAGCGGACACAUAAAACAGCCGAACAGAAUGCGAAUACGCCUAUAUAACAUACUUUAUGCUUUCUUAUUCCUCAUAAAUGGUAUAUUAUCAUAUAAUGGAAAAAAUACAAACAAAAUUGUAACUGAAAAUAUACAAAAGUCGUACGAUUUUAAUUUUAGUAAAAAAAGAAAAAACACAAAGUUAAAUAGUUUUUGUACUUUACAAUAUAAUAAUGUGAAAAUACUACAAAGAAAGAAAGUGAAUAAUAAAAUAAAACCUUACUUUAUUAGCAUGUCUCAGCCGUUUUGUAGUGUAAACAGAGAAGAUGGGAGAGAGCACAGAUAUAAUAAUACGAACCAUAACAUAUGUAAUUACAGUAGUAAACGAAAAUUUCGAUGCAGGAAUUAUGAUGCAAAAGAUAUAAUCAUUUUAGAAGGGUUAGAGGCUGUUCGAAAAAGGCCUGGGAUGUAUAUAGGCAACACAGAUGUGAAUGGUUUGCACCAAUUGUUAUUUGAACUCGUUGACAAUGCUGUAGACGAAUAUAAUAAUUUUGAAUGUAAUAAAAUAAAAGUGAUUAUUCAUAAUGAUGAAAGUAUAACAGUUGAAGAUAACGGACGAGGUAUUCCAUGUGAUAUCCAUGAUAAAACAGGAAAGUCAGCAUUAGAAACUGUUUUAACAGUUUUACAUUCUGGUGCCAAAUUUUAUGAUGAUUAUACCGAAAACAAUAUAGUACAGAGUAAUGGGUAUAAAACAAUGCAGUGUGAAAAGUCAAGUGAUCGUACUAAAGGAAGCCAUGAAGUUGGUAAAAAUAUAUCAGAGAACACAAUUGAAGGGGAUAAUAGUAAUAAUAGCAACCAAAAAAAAAACAAAGCGAAACAACAAGAAAACAACAAAAUGUAUAAAUAUUCAUCAGGGUUACACGGAGUUGGUCUAUCGGUUUCUAAUGCAUUAAGUAGCUAUAUGAAAGUGAAGGUGUUUCGAAAUAAAAAAAUUUAUAGUAUUGAGCUUGAAAAAGGUAAAGUUGUAAAAGAGUUAAAUGUGAUGACUGAUUCUG